rnacentral:rRNA from 1 species
UGCUUGUCUCAAAGAUUAAGCCAUGCAUGUCUAAGCAGAGCCCUUGAAUGGUAAAGCCGCGAAUGGCUCAUUACAACAGCCACAGUUUAUUGGGUCUCCAUUUACUGGAUAACUGAGCUAAUUGUUGAGCUAAUACACGCACCAAAGCUUCGACCUCACGGGAGGAGCGCAUUUAUUAGAACAAAACCAAUCGGACUUCGGUCCGUCCAUUGGUGAAUCUAAAUAACUUAGCCGAUCGCAUGGUCUCGCACCGGCGACUCACCUUUCAAAUGUCUGCCUUAUCACCUUUCGAUGGUAGUUUAUACGCCUACCAUGGGUUUUACGGGUAACGGAGAAUAAGGGUUCGACUCCGGAGAGGGAGCCUGAGAAACGGCUACCACAUCCRAGGAAGGCAGCAGGCA